rnacentral:rRNA from 1 species
GGAUGCGAUAAUAGCAGCACUAAAGCACCGGAUCCCAUCAGAACUCCGAAGUUAAGCGUGCUUGGGUGAGAGUAGUACUAGGAUGGGUGACCUCUUGGGAAGUCCUCGUGUUGCAUUCC